rnacentral:lncRNA from 1 species
GAGGUUUAUGUGAAAUAAUUUGAGAAAGUUUUCGAGUAAAUCAAGUAACGUAAUAGUUUAUGCAUAGCUGCUAGCUGAUCGUAAAACCAGGAUGCGAUAGCAAAAUAGCUAGAAGUCAUGUAUUUAAAACAUAACCAGAACAUGGUUUGUUACAUACGUCUAUAGCUUUGUUAUCUUGGAAGCAUAAAGCCAAUAUUGUACAAAUACAUAGUAAGAUACUCUGUUCGGAAACCAGAUUAAAAAUAAAAGAAAUAAAAUUUUAGCUAAAACCAAAAUCUAAUAACAAAUGGAAUCUUUAGAGAAGAAAUGAUGGCAUGGGCAAUGUGUUGAUAUCGGUUCAAGAGUCAAGACAAUGCACAAGGAUCCAAGAAAGCAUUCAAACAAAAAGAGGAACAGUAAAAGUGGAAGGUGUGUGAUGUGUGAUGUGUGAUGUGUGAUGUGUUAUGUGUGAUGUGUGAUGCGCACUUCUAAUGGUUCACGAUAUUAGAGGAAUCCAAUUUAAUUUGUUUGGUUAAACAAAGUUAAAAUCCCGUAAAUUGACGGAGAAGGUUACACAAAAAGAUAUUUUGUUUGCUGGAGAAGACACGUCGUGGGUUUGGACACAAUGUUGUCACAUCUAUAUUAUUCUGGACCAAACUAUCUCUUCACUUGGGUAAGUGAGAGAACGUUGAUUUUAAAGAUGCAACUAUAAGGAAAUCAGAUUUUUUUCUGGUUACAAUAAACGAAAAUGUUUCGAAUUGAAAGCUAGGUAUAUAGAUUUUUGGGAUUGUGUUUGGACGUUGGAUUAACUUUUAGUUAUAAGAUCUAAUGGCUUAGAAACUUCUAUCACUGUAAAGCGUGGACAUAUCUUUAUUAAUAUUAUUAACCAUCCACCGCUACAUGUCCACGACCACAACUAUUAGCUAUAUACACACGAUCAAAAACUGAAUUCAUUAUCCAUCAAUAGCUAUAUGUACACGACCACAACCAUUAGAUAUAUACACGAAUCCAGCAACCACAACGUAAUAUCAUUAACAAUCCACCACUACAUCCACGACACAACUAUUACAUACACACAUGAACAACCACUGCUAUCAUUAACCAUCCACAGCUAUAUGUCCACGCCCACAACUAUAAGAUAUGCACACGCAUCCAGCAAACGAAACCUUAUAUCAGCAACCAUCCAAAGCUUCAUGUCCACGACCACAACUGCGGUCAAACACAGCGUUUUGUCUUCAUGUGGGAGAUUGUCUGUGAACCAAAUCGGCAGAAGCAAGCAUCGGAUAAAGCGGCAGAAGCAGAGAAAUAUUGGAUAGAUAAAGAGAGAAGAGAUAAAUCGAUUGAGAAAGGACUGGAGCGGACACAGAAAAUCGAUUGAGAUAGGAGACAAAAAUUAUGUUUAGCCUAGGAAGGGAUUAGGGUUCUUGUAACUGGUUUUGUUUGGAUCUGGGUAGAUGUUGAGGAGAGGAGCCACUCUCAUUUUUUUUAAUUGACAAAAAAGAUUUGUAACAAAAAAAUAAGGAGUGGUAGGAAGAGGGUAACGAGAGACAAAGUUUAGAAAUGAGAAAUUGGGGUGUAUAACCAAACAAAAACGUAUAAUUCACUGCAUAGCCAUUUUCCCUAACAUUUCUAUACACGGUGUUAACUUUAUAAAUUAAUAUUAUAUUGCCC